AGCCUUCUAUAUCCAUGCUAAGAUUUCGUCAGUGAUCAACCCACUGGGGCUGAUACAACUUCCCGAAUAAGUGAAGUA
rnacentral:pre_miRNA from 1 species